rnacentral:rRNA from 1 species
ACGCUGGCGGCAGGCCUAACACAUGCAAGUCGAGCGGUAGAGAGAAGCUUGCUUCUCUUGAGAGCGGCGGACCGGUGAGUAAUGCCUAGGAAUCUGCCUGGUAGUGGGGGAUAACGUUCGGAAACGGACGCUAAUACCGCAUACGUCCUACGGGAGAAAGCAGGGGACCUUCGGGCCUUGCGCUAUCAGAUGAGCCUAGGUCGGAUUAGCUAGUUGGUGAGGUAAUGGCUCACCAAGGCGACGAUCCGUAACUGGUCUGAGAGGAUGAUCAGUCACACUGGAACUGAGACACGGUCCAGACUCCUACGGGAGGCAGCAGUGGGGAAUAUUGGACAAUGGGCGAAAGCCUGAUCCAGCCAUGCCGCGUGUGUGAAGAAGGUCUUCGGAUUGUAAAGCACUUUAAGUUGGGAGGAAGGGUUGUAGAUUAAUACUCUGCAAUUUUGACGUUACCGACAGAAUAAGCACCGGCUAACUCUGUGCCAGCAGCCGCGGUAAUACAGAGGGUGCAAGCGUUAAUCGGAAUUACUGGGCGUAAAGCGCGCGUAGGUGGUUUGUUAAGUUGGAUGUGAAAUCCCCGGGCUCAACCUGGGAACUGCAUUCAAAACUGACUGACUAGAGUAUGGUAGAGGGUGGUGGAAUUUCCUGUGUAGCGGUGAAAUGCGUAAAUAUAGGAAGGAACACCAGUGGCGAAGGCGACCACCUGGACUAAUACUGACACUGAGGUGCGAAAGCGUGGGGAGCAAAC